ensembl:snoRNA SNORD116 Small nucleolar RNA SNORD116
AGAUUAAUGGUGACUCCCACAAAAAUAUUACUGGGAAAGCUGAACAAAAUGAGUGAGAACUCAGCAGUGUCAUCCUCAUCAUGACUGAGGUCC